rnacentral:piRNA from 1 species
UACUUUCUGUUAACCAGCAAAUCUCAUGA